rnacentral:lncRNA from 1 species
AAACUGCAGUAGAGACACAUUGAAAAAGACUCAAAACCAUAAUUAAAACAACCCAAAUGAUGGGUUUAUUCUAACGACAAUCAUUGCAAUAAAACUAAACAUAACACAUCAUAACUUAUCAUAGGUUUAACCAGACUGAUUCAAAAUGUUCAAACCGGCCGGUCUAACUAAGAAAGAUCAAUUUGAUCCGGGAUGAUUUAAUUAAUUAGCUCUGGUUCCGGAACUACCACCCUCGUGUCCGCUCUUUCCACCGUGAAACGCCGAUGAGAAAUUGGUGUUGAGGUCAGAAUACAUGGAGACAACCUUAGUGAUGUUUCCAUUGAGUUCUUGGAUCAAAGCAACGUUCUUGGACAUGUUAUCAGCCAUUCUUGACUGGUGAUUGUCGUUGACCUGCUGGAUCAGUGAUCUGUUUCUGUCCAAAACCGAUUGCACUUGUCUGAAAUUCCGAUCUAGAUUCUCCCACAUCGCCGGAUCCUCUCCUCCCUGCCCCGCAUCUUCCGCCACGUUCCUCCGCCGCUUAGUCUCGCCGUUCCUCUUCAUUUAACUUAAGUUUUUAUCGACAGAAGAUUUGUUGUUUUUAUCUGUUUCGUGUUAUUUUCUUAUGAUUUUUGUAUUUUCGCAACUCUAAGGGAUAUCAGAUAUUUAUAGUAAAUAUCUUCCGCAGAAGAUGAUAAAUGGACACGGAGACAAGUAGUUCUGUUAAAGCACCAGGCGAGUCACAAGCGCGUGUUCUCAAAUACUCGUAUCUGAUCGAAUAUUGAAGAACACACGCGUGGGGAAGAGUGUGAGAAGUGAUUGGUUAAGCGAAAUAAAAAACAGAGCUUUUUGUGCACUUUUUCCCUAUUUUGAGAAAUAUCUCAAGAUAUUUAUUGUGAAGUGAAUACUUUUAUAUGAAAUAAAGAGAUAGGAGAAGAACCAUAUUCCCCAUACUGUUUGAUUCAACAAUUCUACAAAAAUGUAAUUGGUUCUUCUCUACCACAAUCAACAAAGAGAGAACCUAAUCUUAUCUUGUCAUAUCGUCUUUGAGAUAUUUAUAUCACACAAGCACACUAUUGUCUGAUAAUUACUAAUAAGAUAAUGAAAUGAUUCUAAACAUCAUCAUGCAAUGACAACAUACAAACAACUCGAAUCUUCAAAGAGAAUUAAAGUUUAUGAAACAACAAAGAAGCGUUUAGGGGACCUCAAUUUUAUUAAGAUUCCUUGCGUUUUCUUCCGAGUAUCGAAGCUCUCUGGAAACGAGGACCUCCCGUUCUCCAUUUCUUGAAGGCUGUCAUAGACAAGUGAGCAGCUUCGUACACUGCAAAAUAAACAAACAAUGGUUGUUUCACGUGAAGAAGAUAGUAACUAAAGUUAGAGUUAAAAGGGAUUUAAUUACAGUUUGUUUCUUCUAUAGUCAGGAAGGGCAAGAACUUGGAAGCUGUUAAAUGAGUUGCAGUGAAAACUUUUGUCAGCCUCUCCUUGUAUCUGAUCUUAAACGCAGUCGAUAGCAAGAUUCCGAGCGUUCUAUCUGUAACUCUGUUUCCGGUUCAAAGAGACAAAACAUAUUGUGAAAAACAUAGAGACGUAGACCAGACUAACUGACAAAGACUUUAAGAAAAGUUGCUUAAAAUUUCAUAAAUCUGUUUGAAAUAAAACGUCAGUGAACACCUUAACCAAUUAGCUGCUAUUUUCUUUCCAAUGCAAAAAUCUCAUGUGGCAGAUUGAACUUAGGAUGAUGACCUUUUGAAACACAAAGAACAAAAUGCACCAAAACAUGUGCUUCUUAGAAGAUCAAAGAACAUAAUGACACCAGGAAAGAAACAAGUGAAAGAUGAAUGAUAAUAAAAAAUGGGGGAAGGAAGGACUCACAAAGGCUGUAACUUGCAACCGAACUCGUAGAAGUAAGGACAUCGUGAUCUAAGAUCCACACACGCUGCAUCAGCCUGUAUUUCCAGCCUCGUCCUGCAUAAACACACAUAAAGCUAAGAAAGGACUUUUAAGGUACAAAAGAAAAAAAAACGAAGCACUUAGGUAGCUAACAGUUCAUGGAGCUGCUAGAUAAGCACAAAGAAAGAAAGAGUGAAGGAAACGAAAAUCUUGAAUACAGUAAGUUGACUUACUUUUGGUCGAAAGAGGCAGGAAGGUUAAUGGAGACAGCUUGUCUCAAAUGCAACUCAUGAGCAAGCCAAAAGGGUAACUCCACUUUGGCACCUUGCUCAACCUGCAGGGAAACACAAACAUAAACCCUGAGAGAACUCAAAACACAAAGGCAAUGAAAGUUUGCUAAAAAAGAAGACUAACAUAGUUUGUCUCAGCACUUGGAUCAAUAGUCACUCGAUUUGCUGGCUUAUGGAACAGCACAGGAGCAAACUGCAAAGUAAACCAAACCAAACAAACAAAAAGAUUAUUUGAUUUGACAAAUGAGAAGAUAAGAAGAAGAAGAAAGCUUAACCUCUUCCUCUGUAAGUAUGUCGUCAAUGUCAUAGUACUUGUUGGCCAUGCUCUAACUUCCACAAGCCAAGCUUUGAGAUUUCAUCGAGAAAAAGCGAUUACACAUCAUAAAAUCAAUACCCAUCAAUCAGAUUUCGACAAUGCGUUAUGCGAUUGGAAAGUACCAAAUUACAAUAUUAGGGUUUGUAUAAAGGAAUUGUCAUGGUGAAAAACGAACACACAAAGCGAAUUGCUGGAUACGGAGAGAGAAGAGAAGUUUACCGGCGACGGUGUGUUUACCGAUCUAGCGGGAGAUUUUUGAGCGGUGGAGACGGAGUCGCGGCGAUGUCAAGUGUUGAGUGACGACUGACUGAAGAGAGAGAAGAUGAUGACCACGGUUUAGUCAAGGUUUUAUCCAACUUAACCAAAAUCAAAUUCUUAACCGAACUGUACCGUCUCGGUUUAAUUUUAAUUUGAUUGUUCACGUCAGGUUCGGUUUUAUACCGGAACUGUAUAUUGUGAAUUACUUUGAAGCAAGGUUCCAAGCUUUUAUAUUUCAUAACUACAUUAUUCACUCGGGCACCAUCCAUGAACUCUAUUGUUCACUAGCUUAUUAGAGGAGCUCAAGUUCCAAUAUAUUUUUGGGGGCAUAAACAUACUCUUCAAUAUGGGGAAAUAAUUUCCUGAAAAUAUCCUGACAUUUUUCACUGAGUUUUGAUGAAACUAGGUACAGAAAAAAUAAAAAAAAAUUAUGGCAUACAUGAAUUCUUCAUAAUAGACAGUGAAUCAAAUACAUUGAUUAAUAAUGAAAAUCUAUAGGAAAUUAUUUCAACAAGUGCAUGUGAAAAGAUCAAUAUAUAGAUAAACACAUACAAGGCUGUAUAAACAUAUCGGAUCAAACGAUCUUAUGUUAUGAAUCAACUAUAGACAGUUCAAGAAUUGCACUGGGAUCAAUUUUUUUUUCCACGUUUUUAGUUAGAAUUUGAAGUUCUUUUUCAAAAAAAGAAAUAGAUCUUUGGUGAAUUACAUGCUACUGUAAAAGACAUGGACGAUGAAUAGUGUCUACAUGAAAUGAGAAAGAGACUUUGGAGGAAGAGUGUAUGUCUUUGGUGAAUUACAAUGUCUUGGCUUUGGAUAUAUGCUUCUUCACUUCCGAUCAGUUUCGUAGGCCUAAACUCUUUGCAUUCUAUUCCUCCCUAUAUCUUUUUUUUUUGUUCGGACUUUUUGUUAAUGAAAACUUAGUUAUUUGGUUGGUGUGACAUCAAUUGUUUUCAACUUCAUGCUCAAGCUGUCAAGCAUAGUGUAUGACUGAAACAAACAAUCUAUAACAUAUUUACAUGAGUUUGCUAUUGUUUAGUGCUACAACAAUUUACUAUUGUUCGGUUAUUCUCAUCUUCGGUGUGUGCGCUGUAGAGUGUGAUACAGAUUGCUACUUAUGUAUUCCAUGUAAGAAUAAGUGAAUAAUUACUUUAAUCUAAGUUAAGCAUAAAAUAUCUUAAUAUGCGAAAUCUCCAAAUAUGUUUCGCUGAACAUAUAUAUACAUUUCCAUUACCUUGAAUUGACUAAUAUACACUCACGCAUAGAUACGUCUAACUAGAGUUUCUAUAGUUUAUUUGCGUAAAACUAAAUUGGUAAUGUAAUUUGACAAGCAUAUUCAUAUGCACCGUUUAACAUAGUUUGAUAAGACGACAAAACAAAAGGAAGUUUGAUAAGAAAAAAGCAAUCAUACAUUUAUUUCUUCCUGUGUUUGCUUGGUAGCAUUAGACGAGAAAGCAUUGAAGAUCUCAAUCUAACACGAAAUAGAAUAUUAUUAGAUGGGUUCGGUUUGUUUAGUGUUUACUAUUCAUUUUUAUAUAUCAAAUUCACAGUAUAGUUAUAUAGCUUUGGCAUCGAUGUUGCUACAUGAUAGCUUUUAUUUGUUGUAAGAAAAAAAUAAUCAAUUGUUUAGUAGUUAGUGAGCUCAACGUCGGUCCAAAAUAUCCAACGUAAGCUCAUUAAAAACCCAUGAAAUCUAAAUAUAUUGGUCUCGAAUGGAAUACCAAAGCUCUUUAGUCUUACUAAAAAUUUAUGGUCUCUGCAUUCAGAGCCGAUCCUAGGAAAACUAGGACCACAAGCAAAUUAAAAAAAAAUUGGCUGCUGUAGCGGAGAUUCGAUCCUGGGUUGAGCAAAGAAAGUUUAAAGUUUUCAGAUUUUACCACUAGACUAAAGUGGAAAAAUAUGGCUAAAAGUAUCUUUAUAGUAAAUGUAAAAUCAAUUGCUUCCUUAGCUUGGCCCAAUGGCCGGUUCUGUCUUCAUUGCUAAUGUAUCUGAAUGAACAAGAUGAUCUGCUUGGAUGUAACAAUAGUAACCUCACCCAUUGUUCUUAUUUUAAUUUGUUUCUCACUGUUUGCUUUUCAAUUUCUUUAUUUUUCUAUUCAUGUAGAUCAUUAUGAGAGAUUAGCUUCAUGCAUCAUACGUGUUCCUCUUUAUUUUAAUAUGAAUGUCAGAGUCUGUUCAUUUGCUAAGCAUAUCUGCAAAGAAUUCCUUAACACACGUGAUAUGUCAAUAUAAAACAAUUGUUUAAAUGAUCAGUUUUCAUGUCAUACCAAAUUGAAUCACUACUAGGUGACAACGAACUUUUACAAGUUGCAAGAAUCUAACAACAAGCUUCGUUAAUGUCAAUGACGAUAUAAGAAAAGGCUCAAAAUAGAUAAAAAGAUGGCUAAAACUAAAUAUUUAUUAUUCUUAUUAGCGAAACUGCAGUAGAGACACAUUGAAAAAGACUCAAAACCAUAAUUAAAACAACCCAAAUGAUGGGUUUAUUCUAACGACAAUCAUUGCAAUAAAACUAAACAUAACACAUCAUAACUUAUCAUAGGUUUAACCAGACUGAUUCAAAAUGUUCAAACCGGCCGGUCUAACUAAGAAAGAUCAAUUUGAUCCGGGAUGAUUUAAUUAAUUAGCUCUGGUUCCGGAACUACCACCCUCGUGUCCGCUCUUUC